rnacentral:lncRNA from 1 species
AUCAGGCAAGCAACACUUAGGAUUUGGAGGCAAAGCCAUCUUGUGCUCCAUUUUGGUAUCUUCUUCUGUGAAAUAUACAUCUCAACAGGGAAGUAAACGGUCAAUGGCCAAAAUCCCAAAGCCCCAAGGAGGCCAACUAUGUCGUUAAAGAAGGGAAGGAGCAUUGAAAUCACAGUGGUUGUAACCACAAAGAGUGUCCUCCAAAUCAUUCUGAAGAGGUUGAGAUUGUAU